rnacentral:rRNA from 1 species
UACGGAGGGUGCAAGCGUUCAUCGGAAUUACUGGGCGUAAAGCGUGCGCAGGCGGUUUGUUAAGUCCGUUGUGAAAGCCCCGAGCUCAACUUGGGAAUUGCAGUGGAUACUGGCAGGCUGGAGUACGGUAGAGGAAGGUGGAAUUCCCGGUGUAGCAGUGAAAUGCGUAGAUAUCGGGAGGAACACCAGUGGCGAAGGCGGCCUUCUGGACCAGUACUGACGCUCAUGCACGAAAGCGUGGGGAGCAAACAGG